rnacentral:rRNA from 1 species
UACGUAGGUGGCGAGCGUUACCCGGAAUGAUUGGGCGUAAAGGGUGCGUAGGCGGCCUGCUAAGUCUGGAGUGAAAGGUACCGGCUCAACCGGUACAGGCUCUGGAAACUGGCGGGCUAGAGAGCAGGAGAGGGCGGUGGAACUCCAUGUGUAGCGGUAAAAUGCGUAGAUAUAUGGAAGAACACCAGUGGCGAAAGCGGCUCUCUGGUCUGUAACUGACGCUGAGGUUCGAAAGCGUGGGUAGCAAACAGG